rnacentral:tRNA from 1 species
UCCCUGGUGGUCCAGUGGCUAAGACUCCUCACUCCCCAUACAGGAGGCCAAGGUUCGAUCCCUGGUCAGGGAA